rnacentral:rRNA from 1 species
AUUGAACGCUGGCGGCAGGCCUAACACAUGCAAGUCGAGCGAGCGGCGGACGGGUGAGUAAUGUAUGGGGACUGCCCGAUAGAGGGGGAUAACUACUGGAAACGGUAGCUAAUACCGCAUACUAUCGGAUAACCCAUAUGGGCGUAGCUAGUAGUGGAGGUAAUGGCUAACCUAGUCGACGCUCCCUAGCUGGUCUGAGAGAAGGAUCAGCCAAACGGGGACUGGGACACGGCCCAGACUCCUACGGAGGCAGAAGGGGGGAUGAUUGCACAAUGGGCGCAAGCCGGAUGCAGCCAUGCCGCGUGUAUGAAGAAGGCCCGAGGGUUGUAAAGUACUUUCAGUCGGGAGGCGUUACCGACAGAAGAAGCACCGGCUAACUCCGUGCCAGCCGCCGCGGUAAUUC